CCCGGGCCUUGUACACACCGCCCGUCACACCACGGGAGUUUGCAACACCCGAAGUCGGUGAGGUAACCGCAAGGAGCCAGCCGCCGAAGGUGGGGUAGAUGACUGGGGUG
rnacentral:rRNA from 1 species